rnacentral:rRNA from 1 species
GACAGAGGGUGCAAACGUUGCUCGGAAUCACUGGGCGUAAAGGGCGUGUAGGCGGGAAGGUAAGUCGGGCGUGAAAUCCCUGGGCUCAACCCAGGAACUGCAUCCGAUACUGGCGGGCUUGAAUCCGGGAGAGGGAUGUGGAAUUCCAGGUGUAGCGGUGAAAUGCGUAGAUAUCUGGAGGAACACCGGUGGCGAAGGCGGCAUCCUGGACCGGUAUUGACGCUGAGGCGCGAAAGCUAGGGGAGCAAACGGGA